UUGUCAGAACACACCAGAGGCCCAGACCUGCAAGUUCAAAGUUGUCUGGCCUCAGAGGUCUCAUCUGACAACUGUCAUCCAAGCCCCUCUUCUGGGGGCUCUGGGCAUUUAUAACUCGGGGGGGUUCCCGACAGGAUCUGGGUGCACGGAUCCCCCCACCCAGGCUGUCUAACUGAACCCCAAAUCACAGCAGGAGACUAAAAACCUCCAAGGUCAAGAAGAAUACAGGGAGGCGUGGACCAUGAAAAGGAGACAUGCAGGCUCAAACAGCCCUCGCUUGAAGAUGCAUUACUGUUCUCCCGGCCUGCCAGCCUCCCCACCAAAUGGACCAGAUCCUGGCUGCAUCUCCUAUCAGAAGGCCAUCUGCAAGCCAAGCCCCCGAGGGCGGCGCCUUCCCCUUCUGCCCACUGGCCCUAGCAGGGCUUCCGGCCCCUUUGGAUCUUUUUGCGGUCUGGGCUUGCUGUUCCUCUCUACAGUAGUCAGGAAGCCCUUACCCCAAAAAGUAUCUGCGGGAGGCCUUGUCUACAGAGGCACGCCCCAGAGGGCUCCCGGUGGGUCACAUACCAAACCCAUGGACAUAGAGUGAAGCCAUCAACCUGGCCGUCCCGUAGAGCUGCUGCGUGACCUUAGGGCAAGAGCUGAGCCUCUCUGUGCCUCAGUGCUCCACCACUGGACCAUCAGUCAUUUGACCUUCAGUCAAUUACCGGUGCGAGAAGCCUGCGGGAGAUUCCACGAGACAGGCCUGGAAAUUGAAAUCCCAUGGGAAGGGAUAUGAGAUUGGGAACAAAACAUCGAUGCUGGCUGAGUGGCAGCUCUGCUGAUGGGAAGACUGUGAGCUUGUGCUGCUGAAGUCCCCUGAACUGCCUGGCACCUGCCCUUCCCCAGCCUGGACCCUCAACCCCCGCCUUCAUUUCAUGAACCACUCCCAAAUCCCUCCAAUAAAAUGCUUUAUUGCUUUAGUUAAGCAGUCAAUAGAGUUGCUUGCCUCAAGAUCCAGAGACCCCUAGAGACAGGAGGUAGGAUUGCUUACCUUGGAGAGAAUGCGGGGCAGACCCUGGGGGAGCUGAGUGACCAUCCUGGAGGGAGGGGCCUCCCAUGGUGUCAGCCCCCAGGGCACAGGGGACAGGGCAGAAGACAGAGAUCAGAUACACAGCUUGGGUUAGGGUCCCAGGAAGCGUUCCCAGAAGGUGAAACAAUGUUGGGAUUCAGGACAGAGGAGGACCAUGUAAUAUGGAGAAAUGUGACAUACAGAUAAACAGGGCCCUCAG